UACGGUAGGGGGCAAGCGUUGUCCGGAAUCAUUGGGCGUAAAGCGCGUGUAGGCGGCUCGAUAAGUCUGCUGUGAAAGUUCAGGGCUCAACCCUGAAAUGCCGGUGGAAACUGUCGAGCUAGAGUCCGGAAGAGGCGAGUGGAAUUCCUGGUGUAGCGGUGAAAUGCGCAGAUAUCAGGAGGAACACCAAUGGCGAAGGCAGCUCGCUGGGACGGUACUGACGCUGAGACGCGAAAGCGUGGGGAGCAAACAGG
rnacentral:rRNA from 1 species